rnacentral:lncRNA from 1 species
GAGGAGUUUCUGAUUUUUGACUUCAAUCAAAGCAGGUUCUUCACUUUGCUUUACAUAUUCUGCCAGGGCAUCAUCAUCAUCAUUAUUAUUAUUAUUAUUAUUAUUAUUAUUAUUAUUAUUAUUAUUAUUAUUACUGUGAUCCCCAGGUUGUGUCUGUCAGGAGGUAUGGAAACAGCCAUACCACUGACACAUUCAAGUUUUAACAAACUCCUCUGAUUAUUUAAAGAAGAAGGAAACUGAGAUUUAAUUAUACUGCCAAUUUCAUACUGCGUCUCUGCAAAUUCCAUGCCUAUUGAAAAUGCUAAUGGGGACUAUUUAUUGGUAUUUUUUCCCAAAUUUUUUGUUGUUGUUUUGAAAGCAUGCUGUUGAUAUUUCUUUGUGCUGCUGAAUUUGGAUCUCAUGCACUUUGCAAAAGGUAUACCUGUCCGUGUUGUUAGAGUUUACAUUACAGAGAAGGAGAAAAACUACUUCUCCCAAAUCUCAUUUUUAAAAAAACGGGUGUAUGUUUUAUAGAAAGCCAAAGAUUGGCCUUUCAUUACCACGUUCCCCAGCUAGCAGUUCCAAAUCUAUAUUUUAUGGUGCAUAUCACAUAUAUUUAUAUCCCACAUGCAGAAUCAUUAAUCUGCUCCCUGGCUGUGCAAAGGACUUUUUGAAUAUUUUAUCAUCUCUCAUUCUACUUCCAAACUAAUGUAUAUUUACAAAUGCAGCCUCCUACGGGCAGACCGAUAUUGUUUCCUUUCUGCGUUUGAGUACCAAGGCACCGGCAUCCAAUACAGAUGGAAGCCUCGAUUUCCCAGCCACUUUUGUUGAAAGGAAGAACCAAUCCUAUCUCAAGCUGUGUGUGAGAAAAAGGACGGAGAUGGGGCCAAUUUGCAUAAUGUAAACAGGGGGAUGAUGCAAAAAAAAGGGCAAUACAUGCCUACAUACCAAAGCCUGACGGAUCUUUCGGCGCUGCUCUUAUUCCUUCCCAAUGUCAAUGUACCUUUCACCAUGCUCAUAUUUAUUUCCAGAGUUCUUGCUUACAAAUAUAGCAAGGGAAUUUAUAGUUUUCAAAGUAUCUUUGCACUCCUUGCCAGGGCAUUGCUUGGCGUGGUCACAGUGUAUUAUAAAAAGUUAUGAAAAUUCACCAAAAAUCGGAGGAUACAGGAAACUUUCUGCAAUUUGUUGAGCUAAGAGUGUUGAAUGUGUUCUCCCACUGUACCAAAUUUGAUGAGGAUAGCUCCAAAAGUGAGGGCGGGAGAGCCCUGUAAAAGUCCCCCUCCCCAGGUGCUGGUUUUUUUGGCAAUUGCGCAUGCACGCCCACCAUUUUAGAAACAUUCUGAAUCAUUACGAAUUUUCGGAAAUAUCUGAAAUUUUUGGGUGAAAAAAUCGGAAAUAGUUUCUAUUUCGAAGCAUAUUUAGAAACGAGAAUUGAAACAUUUUUUUCAUCGAUCGGACAUGCCUAGUAGGAACAUAUUGCUAGCAGAAACAGGUUUUGCAUUCACUGUCUUUUUUGGCAAUCGUCCCUUGCAAAGGACCUCUAUGAGACAAAUGCAGUAAGUAGGGCAAGGAUUCCUCUUUCCAAAUGCUUCCUGUUGAGAAGGAGACCCCACCCCACCAGCCCUCAUCGGCACCCAACACAAAGGCUGACUUUUUUUCUCUCCAGAGGAUAAAUUUAACUCCUAAUGAGCGCCAAAGCAAAUUUAUUCCAUACACUGUAUGUGCUGUGCUAAAAUUGCUCUUUUACAGCUUCACAGGCCCGGCACAAAGCAAAGAAAUGUGACAAUGUUCGGGUGUCGUCGCCGCCACCGCCGCCGUCAUUUCGGGUGGCCUGCCUGUUAACGAAGGCAUGUGUAUUUUCUAUGGAAUUAAAGCGUGCCCAGAAUAGAUUUCUGUGAUAUGCAAAAACCAAAGGAAGAAGCUGCCUGACUGUUCUUACUUUGGGACAUUUUAACAGACACGAGAUACCCUUGUUACUUUGAUCCAGAAUAGAUUUGAAGCUGGUUUCCUGGAGAUAAAAGUAUUUUUGUUUUCUAUUCUAUUGCCCCUGUUAUUGAUUGACCAACCGAAUGCUACCUGAGCGUUGCCUUCGCCCGUCUUCGGGACGUAAUUAAAGGGAUGCCAUCAAAGCGCACGGCGUUUAUAUAUAACUUCAGAGAUUUCAGUCCUUCAAAUCAAAUAUCGCAUUGUUCACAACAAAAAAACAAAUAACCUGCAACGCGCAUCC